AGUCGAGCGGUAGAGAGAAGCUUGCUUCUCUUGAGAGCGGCGGACGGGUGAGUAAUGCCUAGGAAUCUGCCUGGUAGUGGGGGAUAACGUUCGGAAACGAACGCUAAUACCGCAUACGUCCUACGGGAGAAAGCAGGGGACCUUCGGGCCUUGCGCUAUCAGAUGAGCCUAGGUCGGAUUAGCUAGUUGGUGGGGUAAUGGCUCACCAAGGCGACGAUCCGUAACUGGUCUGAGAGGAUGAUCAGUCACACUGGAACUGAGACACGGUCCAGACUCCUACGGGAGGCAGCAGUGGGGAAUAUUGGACAAUGGGCGAAAGCCUGAUCCAGCCAUGCCGCGUGUGUGAAGAAGGUCUUCGGAUUGUAAAGCACUUUAAGUUGGGAGGAAGGGCCAUUACCUAAUACGUGAUGGUUUUGACGUUACCGACAGAAUAAGCACCGGCUAACUCUGUGCCAGCAGCCGCGGUAAUACAGAGGGUGCAAGCGUUAAUCGGAAUUACUGGGCGUAAAGCGCGCGUAGGUGGUUUGUUAAGUUGGAUGUGAAAUCCCCGGGCUCAACCUGGGAACUGCAUUCAAAACUGACUGACUAGAGUAUGGUAGAGGGUGGUGGAAUUUCCUGUGUAGCGGUGAAAUGCGUAGAUAUAGGAAGGAACACCAGUGGCGAAGGCGACCACCUGGACUGAUACUGACACUGAGGUGCGAAAGCGUGGGGAGCAAACAGGAUUAGAUACCCUGGUAGUCCACGCCGUAAACGAUGUCAACUAGCCGUUGGGAGCCUUGAGCUCUUAGUGGCGCAGCUAACGCAUUAAGUUGACCGCCUGGGGAGUACGGCCGCAAGGUUAAAACUCAAAUGAAUUGACGGGGGCCCGCCCAGCGGUGGAACAUGUGGUUAAUUCGAACCACGCGAAAACCUUACCAGGCUUGACUCCAUGACCUUCUAAAAAAGAUGGUGCUUCGGACCUUGAACAGUGCUGCUGGC
rnacentral:rRNA from 1 species